rnacentral:sRNA from 1 species
CCUGAUCCUAACAUGUCCAUCCUAACAA